rnacentral:rRNA from 1 species
UACGUAGGGCGCAAGCGUUGUCCGGAAUUAUUGGGCGUAAAGAGCUCGUAGGCGGCUUGUCACGUCGGGUGUGAAAGCCCGGGGCUUAACCCCGGGUCUGCAUUCGAUACGGGCUGGCUAGAGUGUGGUAGGGGAGAUCGGAAUUCCUGGUGUAGCGGUGAAAUGCGUAGAUAUCUGGAGGAACACCGGUGGCGAAGGCGGCAUCCUGGACCGACACUGACACUGAGGAGCGAAAGCCAGGGGAGCAAACGGG